AACUCCACCAGCAAAUGUUCCCAC
rnacentral:siRNA from 1 species